rnacentral:tRNA from 1 species
GUCGCGGUAGCCUAGUGGUUAGGGCACUGGCCUCGCAAUUCCAGGGACCCGGGUUCGAUUCCCGGCCGCGGCA